GGUCCCAUGGUGUAAUGGUUAGCACUCUGGACUUUGAAUCCAACGAUCCGAGUUCGAGUCUCGGUGGGACCU
rnacentral:tRNA from 1 species